rnacentral:misc_RNA from 1 species
GCUUACUUUAAAUUGGUUGGUCAGACGAGAGCUUAUUGGAGAAGUUGUUGAUACUUUUAUUAUGCCAGAGUGAAGUCUGAUGGCAUCAUAUUUGAAUGAAUUGCCUUCAUAGAGUUAAUGUCUUCACUAAGUUUAAAAAGAAAACUUAAUAAUAAUGUUUUUUUUUUUAACUCUUCUCGCUCCUUGCUAUAAACCGAGUAAAGUUUUUUUUUUUUCUUUU